GCUUCUCUGAGGAUCUUAUAGGCCUUCUACAGAUGGUAAAGCAUGCCACACAGCAGCCCAAGCUUGGGUAAUGUUCAUCUUUGCCCUGCAAGUCUUGACACAUGCUGGCUCCAGGGUCUCUCCAGUCUGGCACAGCACUGGAAGGCAAUACUAACUGGAGGAGGAAUAGCUAUUGAAUGAGGAGGAAAAGAAAAUUACUUCCCAUUUUUUACAUGGUCUUGAGAAAUUGGCUGAGAUAUUGAUUUAUGGGAACAGUGGUAGACAUGAGCAGAUCAAGGUUAUUGGCAAUGUGAAAGAGUGACUGCUUGGAAGGAGCCAUCAGAGACUGGAAGGGGAACAGGCUGGAUUGUAACACCGUAAAAUGAAUUUGUUAAAUCAUAUGAUAGUCUACCUGAGGUGACAUCUGUUCCCAGA
ensembl:lncRNA